GCAUGUAUACCUUUUCAUACGGUCAUAUAACUGUCAAUAUUAUUUAUAGGUCUUCACCCGCUAAUCCACAAGAAUCACAGCCUGAACGAAGGUCAAAUGCAGUUGCGGCACAUAUACCAUCACCAAAGAGUCAGAGAAAUCCCUGCUCUAUUGAGGAUUUUGAAGAUUAUUACGCCAACAUGGAAGAUCUCAGCAUUUAUGAAAACGUCUAAUGAAAAUGCUGCACAUCACCUCCAAAAUGUGUUUAAUACAGUGUUUAAAACAGAAAAAGACAAAAGUCAAACAUAUAUUUUAGUCGAUAUUAAAAAAUACAACUUUGUCAUGUAUAUGUCAUGUAAAAAUAGCAUCAAUAUUUUAAUAAACUGUAACUUUGUCUGAUUUGUGUGGCAGCUGGAUCUCUCUCUGGCUUUUCAGCUAUAAUGAGCAAGUUUUUUAAGCAAGCU